rnacentral:rRNA from 1 species
GCUCAGGAUGAACGCUAGCUACAGGCUUAACACAUGCAAGUCGAGGGGCAGCAUGGUCUUAGCUUGCUAAGGCCGAUGGCGACCGGCGCACGGGUGAGUAACACGUAUCCAACCUGCCGUCUACUCUUGGACAGCCUUCUGAAAGGAAGAUUAAUACAAGAUGGCAUCAUGAGUCCACAUGUUCACAUGAUUAAAGGUAUUCCGGUAGACGAUGGGGAUGCGUUCCAUUAGAUAGUAGGCGGGGUAACGGCCCACCUAGUCUUCGAUGGAUAGGGGUUCUGAGAGGAAGGUCCCCCACAUUGGAACUGAGACACGGUCCAAACUCCUACGGGAGGCAGCAGUGAGGAAUAUUGGUCAAUGGGCGAGAGCCUGAACCAGCCAAGUAGCGUGAAGGAUGACUGCCCUAUGGGUUGUAAACUUCUUUUAUAAAGGAAUAAAGUCGGGUAUGGAUACCCGUUUGCAUGUACUUUAUGAAUAAGGAUCGGCUAACUCCGUGCCAGCAGCCGCGGUAAUACGGAGGAUCCGAGCGUUAUCCGGAUUUAUUGGGUUUAAAGGGAGCGUAGAUGGAUGUUUAAGUCAGUUGUGAAAGUUUGCGGCUCAACCGUAAAAUUGCAGUUGAUACUGGAUAUCUUGAGUGCAGUUGAGGCAGGCGGAAUUCGUGGUGUAGCGGUGAAAUGCUUAGAUAUCACGAAGAACUCCGAUUGCGAAGGCAGCCUGCUAAGCUGCAACUGACAUUGAGGCUCGAAAGUGUGGGUAUCAAACAGGAUUAGAUACCCUGGUAGUCCACACGGUAAACGAUGAAUACUCGCUGUUUGCGAUAUACUGCAAGCGGCCAAGCGAAAGCGUUAAGUAUUCCACCUGGGGAGUACGCCGGCAACGGUGAAACUCAAAGGAAUUGACGGGGGCCCGCACAAGCGGAGGAACAUGUGGUUUAAUUCGAUGAUACGCGAGGAACCUUACCCGGGCUUAAAUUGCAGAUGAAUUACGGUGAAAGCCGUAAGCCGCAAGGCAUCUGUGAAGGUGCUGCAUGGUUGUCGUCAGCUCGUGCCGUGAGGUGUCGGCUUAAGUGCCAUAACGAGCGCAACCCUUGUUGUCAGUUACUAACAGGUUCCGCUGAGGACUCUGACAAGACUGCCAUCGUAAGAUGUGAGGAAGGUGGGGAUGACGUCAAAUCGGCACGGCCCUUACGUCCGGGGCUACACACGUGUUACAAUGGGGGGUACAGAGGGCCGCUACCACGCGAGUGGAUGCCAAUCCCAAAAACCUCUCUCAGUUCGGACUGGAGUCUGCAACCCGACUCCACGAAGCUGGAUUCGCUAGUAAUCGCGCAUCAGCCACGGCGCGGUGAAUACGUUCCCGGGCCUUGUACACACCGCCCGUCAAGCCAUGGGAGCCGGGGGUACCUGAAGUGCGUAACCGCGAGGAGCGCCCUAGGGUA